GUGGCCAUACCACCCUGAAUACGCCCGAUCUCGUCUGAUCUCGGAAGCUAAGCAGGGUUGGGCCUGGUUAGUACUUGGAUGGGAGACCACCUGGGAAUACCAGGUGCUGUAAGUG
rnacentral:rRNA from 10 species